UUCGGCUGUCACUUAUGGAUGGACCCGCGUCGCAUUAGCUAGUUGGUGAGGUAACGGCUCACCAGGGCAACAAUGCGUACCCAACCUGAGAGGGUGAUCGGCCACCCGGGGACUGAAACACGGCCCAAACUCCUACGGGAGGCACCAGUAGGGAAUCUUCCGCAAGGGACAAAAGUCUGACGGAGCAACGCCGCGUGAGUGAUGAAGGUUUUCGGGUCGUAAAACUCUGUUGUUAGGAAAAAACAAGUGCUAUUUGAAUAAGCUGGCCCCUUGACGGUCCCUAACCAAAAAGCCACGGCUAACUACGUGCCAGCACCCGCGGUAAUACGUAGGUGGCAAGCGUUAUCCGGAAUUAUUGGGCGUAAAGCGCGCGCAGGUGGUUUCUUAAGUCUGAUGUGAAAGCCCACGGCUCACCCGUGGAGGGUCAUUGGAAACUGGGAGACUUGAGUGCAGAAGAGGAAAGUGGAUUUCCAUGUGUAGCGGUGAAAUGCGUAGAGAUAUGGAGGAACACCAGUGGCGA
rnacentral:rRNA from 1 species